rnacentral:rRNA from 1 species
UACCUGCGGAAGGGACAUUACCGAGUUUUCGGGCUUCGGCUCGACUCUCCCACCCUUUGUGAACGUACCUCUGUUGCUUUGGCGGCUCCGGCCGCCAAAGGACCUCCAAACUCCAGUCAGUAAACGCAGACGUCUGAUAAACAAGUUAAUAAACUAAAACUUUCAACAACGGAUCUCUUGGUUCUGGCAUCGAUGAAGAACGCAGCGAAAUGCGAUAAGUAAUGUGAAUUGCAGAAUUCAGUGAAUCAUCGAAUCUUUGAACGCACAUUGCGCCCCUUGGUAUUCCGGGGGGCAUGCCUGUUCGAGCGUCAUUACAACCCUCAAGCUCUGCUUGGAAUUGGGCACCGUCCUCACUGCGGACGCGCCUCAAAGACCUCGGCGGUGGCUGUUCAGCCCUCAAGCGUAGUAGAAUACACCUCGCUUUGGAGUGGUUGGCGUCGCCCGCCGGACGAACCUUCUGAACUUUUCUCAAGGUUGACCUCGGAUCAGGUAGGGAUACCCGCUGAACUUAAGCAUAUCAAAA